UACCCGUAUAUAUUUCUGCUUAG
rnacentral:miRNA from 1 species